GAUCUGAUAGCUUAAAGUAAAGCACUGAUCUUGUAAAUCAGAGAGUGGAAUUUCCUCAGAUCA
rnacentral:tRNA from 1 species